UAGGGAAUCUUCCACAAUGGACGCAAGUCUGAUGGAGCAACGCCGCGUGAGUGAAGAAGGCUUUCGGGUCGUAAAACUCUGUUAUUGAAGAAGAACGUGUGUGACAGUAACUGGUCAUGCAGUGACGGUAUUCAAUCAGAAAGUCACGGCUAACUACGUGCCAGCAGCCGCGGUAAUACGUAGGUGGCAAGCGUUGUCCGGAUUUAUUGGGCGUAAAGCGAGUGCAGGCGGUCUUUUAAGUCUGAUGUGAAAGCCUUCGGCUUAACCGAAGAAGGGCAUCGGAAACUGGGAGACUUGAGUGCAGAAGAGGAGAGUGGAACUCCAUGUGUAGCGGUGAAAUGCGUAGAUAUAUGGAAGAACACCAGUGGCGAAGGCGGCUCUCUGGUCUGUAACUGACGCUGGGGCUCGAAAGCGUGGGUAGCAAACAGGAUUAGA
rnacentral:rRNA from 1 species